rnacentral:lncRNA from 1 species
GGGAAGUUAAAAAGGCUAGCCCAAAAAUACAAGAGUAUAAAAUUCAUUUUCCCAUGUUUUCCGGUCUGGGCCCAAAAUAAGCCCAAUUCUCAAAAUAGCAGACAUUAAGAAUGCAAUACGUGCAUGUGAGUCUAAAGGGGGCGUUCCUUUGCUAGGACAACGUAAACCCCAAAUUUCAGGAAAAUCAAUCGUGAACAUAAUAUCAACAAAAUCCAAAUCCAAUCAAAACAUACAAUUGAAUUAAUAAUUUGCUUCUAAAUUUUAACAAUUCAAUCACAAAUUAGCUAGCUAAUCAUUCUGAAAUUCAAACAUCAAUCCCAACUUAACAUGCUCACACACAACCAAUUACACUAAUAGCCUGCCUUGACUCGUAAAAGCACUCUCAACCAUUUUUCCCUUCUUGUAUUAACAUGAAUUAUACACUAAUCAACUACUUAAUAACAUAAGUCAGACAGGCUCCUCUCAGAACUACCCAAAUCCAAAAAAAAAUAUCAGCAUGCAGAUUACUUGGACCUAAAAACAACAUGCAUUCAUUCUUUUAAAUAUGUACGUAUUGAAAGAAAAGGCUGAACUAACAGGCAGCCACCACAUAGACUUUUAUACCAUCCAAACACACGAGCAAAGUGUAAUUCAUUUCAAUCAAUGUCCUUUUCAAUCCUCAACAAAUUCUGGGAAAGCAACCAAAAAAACCUAUCCACCCCAAAUCCAAUAUGACAUAAAAUCAUAGCCUUACUCUAUCGUAAUUGGAGCAUAGAGAGGUCUCAAAUACAAGAUCCACUUCAACUAUACUGAUAUUACAACUAACAAGAUGUUCAUGCCUGAAUUCGAGACAAAGUAGGACUUACAAAAACAACAUGAGACUUAAAUUCAAUUAACUCUCCUAACCUUAAUAAAGCCCAGGGAAUUAAAGCAAACUAAGUCAGCAAACAUGAAUAAAAGUCAAAUUACAACUCCAAACAUUGGUCUUAAUGUUCAUAGCAUGACCUUACAUUAAACAUGAUAAGGCAGAGUAAUUGAACCAACAAGUCGAAUGAAAAAAAAAAGUAGAGAGAAACAUCUAAUAAAAAAGAAAAUAUCUUCAUUUAUUCAAAAGAGAACCACAUGGGCCAAUCUCUACAUGCUCAAGACAAGGAUGUGUACCUAGUAACAAAUAGCAAAUAAAUGAGAAAAAAGGAGUUGGUUAAAAUAGAAGCACCAGCAGUAGAAGAACUCAGUAAUGCUAUAGUAAUAGCAAUCAAAACACAGAUUUCAAUAACCAGGACCCAAAUGAUUCAAAACCAACCCUUAAAUUAGUAAUGAAACAGUAGGAACCACAGAAAAUCAAAAAGCAAACUCUGAAACACCAGAACUCAAACCAUUUUUAUCCCAAAAAAUGCAAACCAUGAAUUUUCAAUGGUUCGAGCCAAGUUAUCAAGACAAGGAGAACAAGAAUCUGAGCCUAGCUUUAGUAAAUUUUCAAGAAAAUGCCAGGAAUUCAAGGUUGUUUCAAAGAUUUUUAGAGAAAGAAGCAGUCGUUUUUUAUUUUUUAGUCUUUUUCUUUGUAUUUUCUGAUUUGAGUGUCAAGUUAAGGUGCCUUUAUAGGCAAGCUACUAGGGCAGCCUAAAGAAAAUCAGGUUUGCACUUUGUACCUUUUGAAAUUUUCAUUUUAGCCUUGGUGCCCUUAGAUUAAUUUUCAAAACUUCAAAUAAGUCCCUAGCCCAUCUUCCUAGAAGCUUCCUUUGGUUAGUUAUUGAAAUAUUCCAUAUACCAAUUACCUAGACUACCCAUAAAAUUCCUACUGUUUAACCCUAAAUUGUUACCUUGGGUUAAUUUAAACAAAAAUCCAACUAAACCAGCCCUUUUAACUAGGUCAGUGGUGACCGUAUUUACUAUGAGGGUCUUAGGUACUCAGAAAUGACAAAACGAAACCAAAGAAAAGAAAAGAAUCCAAAACUUUGAGGGUAAACACAAACACUUCUGAUUUUAGGCAUGAAUUAUUUUUUAACUAUUCUAACUCAGAAUUGACUAUUGUAGGUCAUCAAUUAAACACAUAAAAUGAAACAAAUAAGAUUAAACACAUAAAAACAGAAAACACUACCUUAUAAAAGAUCAGUGAGAAAAAGGAGGGGGAAAAUUAGGAAUUUAAAACCUAAAACCUAAGGAAACAUGGGCAAACAAACUCAGGGGACAACUAUUAGCGAUUGCGAAAAAAAACUAAAAUGAAGGGGAAACAAGUACAAACAAGCAAAUUAACCUAAAGGGAAGAAACUAGGUUCAAACCAAUUUUAGUCAAAAGAAAACUCAAAUACGAGGUGAAACAACAAGAGUGAACAAAAGACUACGAGAAACUCACCGAUUCAGGCUCGAACUUGACUGACCCUCCUAUUUGAGUCUCAAGAUAAUGUUAAUUAUUUGUUUUUUGCCAAGAACAAAUGAAAAACAUUAUUUUGCGACAAAACUGACCCUAAAACACAUGAGAAACUGGAACAUUGACCUUGCAUGUGUAAUUUUGAUUUUAGGCUUUUAGGGUUCGACUAUCUGAUUCAAUAUUUGAACAUUUCUGGCAAGUUUUGAGGGAAAACAAGUGAUGUUUUGGAAAGAGGGGAGCAAGGGGGUCGGGGUGUUAUUUUGGUGGUGUUUGGAGGUGGCGCCGCCAUUCUAAGACGGUGGGAAAAGUAGAGUGGCGGUCUCUAGGGUUGUGGGAGUUUGAAAAGAGAGAGGGGUGUGAGAGAGAUUAUGGGAGAGGGGGUGAGCGUUUGGAC